rnacentral:lncRNA from 1 species
AUGCUCCAUGGAAAGAGACAUGGGGGAUUAUUUGUCCUGUUCCCCAGAAGAGUACAUUUAAAAGGAGGAGGAAUUUGGAUCACUAAAAGAAAAAGAAAAAAAAGAAGGAUGAAACAGUCUCAUUGUGUCACCGAGGCUGAAGUGCAGUGGCAUAAUCAUGGCUUACUGCAGCCCCUACCUCUAGGCUCAAGCAAUCCUCCCAUCUCAGCUUCCUGUGUAGCUAGGAUGGAAAUGUUCUUUUUCUUAAAGGAUAUAUACUUUCUCCUAACCUCAGACAUCGGCAGUCUUGAUUGUCAGAACUUCAGACUCAGACUAAAUUUCCUGCUUCUGCAGCCGUCAGACAGAUUAUGGGAGUUCUUGGCCUCCAUAAUUAUACAAAGUCUCACUGGACUGAAGUGCAAUGGUGUGAUCUCGUCUCAUUGCAACCUCCACCUCCAGGGUUCAGGCAGUUCUCCUGCCUCAGCCUCCCAAGUAGCUGGAUUACAGGCACAUGCCACCACACCUGACUAA